rnacentral:lncRNA from 1 species
AACAUUUUAUAUUUCUGUGGUGCUUUAAGGUUUGCAAAGCCUGUGUUAUCCCACUGGGACUCAUUAUCCCAUCUGAGCCUCCCUAGAACCUUGAGAGCUACUUCCCAUCAAUACCAACACUGUUAUCCAUUCUACGUUCUUGUACUACAAUUUCAUUUCUCCAUCAGCAUUUCCACAGCUGGUUUGGCAAUUCUUGCUUCAUAUGCCUGAUGGACAUGGUAUUCAGUUUUUAGCUAUCAAAAUUUUGAAGCUUUUCAACUGCAAAAAAAAGACAUCAUAAUGCUUACUGUAUUUACUUACAAUUUUGCUUCUCAUAUUCUCUGACUCCAAUUUCAAAAAGCAAAUAUAAGACCUUUUUUUUUCCUCUCAGCAGCAGGACUCUUAACUCUGAAGACUUGUUAAAAUCAGUAGAAAAGAUGUGAACUAUGCUUAAUUAAAUUCUAUUUUCUUUAAGUAAAUGGAUAUGAUAACCACUGUGCACAGUUCUUCAGCUGUUCUGACCAAGCUUUCAGAAUGAGAGCUUUCAAAUCUGAUUGGGAUUGAUGCAGCUGUGUGUUCAUUUGCCACUACUGCCACUAUUUCUAGGAAAGCACCUUAGUUAAGAAGGAAGGCAGCAUCCACAAAUGAUCUCUUGCCUGUAAGGUUUUCCAUACUUCCUAAUAGGUCCAGAUCUGCAAAUCUGCAGGGUCAUAGGAUCAUAAAUUUUGAAUUAGAAGAGACACUGGAGAUCAUCUAAUUUAAUACCUUCACUGACAUUUGAGAAAGUUGAUACCUGAAACAAGUCAAGUGAUUCACCUGAAGUUAUACAAGUACUAAACAGCAGAGUACAAAUUCAAACUCAGAUCCUCUGACUCUAUUUCCACUAUACCCAACUAGAGUGAUAGUCCCUCUAUCUUUUUUUUUAACCUUACCUACCAUCUUAGAAUCAAUACUAUAAUUGGUU